AACAAACAGUGACCAAAAAGCAAAAACGCCAAAUGUAGUGAGAGUCAUUUCGAAUUUUGAAUCCCUUUGAAUGAAAGACUGAAAAGGUUGGACCAUCACUGACUGACAUUAGCUUGCACUUGACUCAGCAAAUGUCAAAUUAUGGAUAAUGGAUUUCCAACAUUUACACAUGUGGUGUGUGGCCACUCGUCGUCCAAGUGACAUGCAAUUAUUUUUCACUAUAUGCAAUGCCGCUCACUUGAGAGUGACUGCUGGAAAAGGUUUGCCCGUCGGGUCAGAACCCUUGAAAGUCUCGAGGACGGAAAUGUAUAGCAGCUCACAGCGUGAUGCAGAAUUAAACGAAGGCCGCCAAGGCCGAGCGAGCUGCUGCUGUUCAAUCUUCAAUUGACUGGAAUCGUUUAACGACCGACACCAGCGCGAAUGCUGAUUCAUUGCAAAACUCAUCUUUGUAGAAAAAAAUGUUAAAGCAGUAAGAAGUUGACGAUCGAGCAUGAGGUGCAUACAUUAAUUGCUUUUUUGUUCAUUUGAAAAGGCGAAUAAUUCGUUAAAUUUAGGCAACAGUAAUUGGCCAAUUAAAUCUAGAACUCGACGAACACGUCGCUAGAGAGAAAUUGUCCAGCCACAGCGGUUCCACAAUUGACAUACCAAUGUCAAAAUAUCCUUUGGGUGCUGUCAAUUUAAUUUAGUCAACAGUUUUAUAAAUAUGAGCUAACUAACGUGUGAUUGUGAAUUCACAUGUUGUAGAAUAACCGGAUAUGGUGGCGCUAGUAUUGCUACUUAAUGCUCAUUUACCUUUGCCCCUUUGGAUUAAUAAUUCGUUAAUUUUUCCGCAACUAUCUAGUCAUUUGCUAAAUAGAUUUUGAUGUAGUUUUGAAAUAAAAACUUUUAAUAAAAUUUACAUGGAUUUCCCCUGUUGGUCGUUCUUCCACUAUGAUAACCAGAAAGAAGGGGAAGACCACUCAGCACUACUACCAGCUUAGUCAUGGAUCAAGCAGCAACACUGCCAAGGCCCAAAGCAUCUCUGUCAUCUUUUGGUUACCAGGUUCCUCCUACUUUGAUAUCUUAAGUACUACAGUUUCAGUUACUUUUACUUUACACAAUUCCAAAGACAUUUAUUGGCAGUGAAAGUAAGCUAAUUUUGUCUGCUAAUUGACCGUAUAUUUUCUAGCAACAAUGCUCACUUGUUCCAUUUUUUAUUAUUUGCUUUUUUAUUGGCUACUUCCGGUUUCUAAACGAGUUAGUGGUUUAGUAAAUCUUCAUUUGACGCAGAAUAGAACCAAAUAUUCGGGAUCCUUGCCAAAUUUGGGGUUUAAAUCAUGUUUUAUUUUGCGUUUUUGCGUACUUCCGGUUUACCCCCAAAUCGUCCAAAAUUGCAAAUUUUCCUCAGGAAAAUUCUCGAUUUUGACAAAAUUCUGGAUUUCGUUUAAAUUACAUCUUAUCGACCCCAAAUCUCACGGAGAUCACGAAUAUUUGGUUUUUUGGUCGGCAGCUCAAUGGUUAAGGCGCUAUCGCUUACUUCCGGUAUACUUCCGAAAAAUUUGCAUUAAACUAGCAAGUGAGCUUUGUUCUCUGUAAAGUUCUAAGGAUUGAAUGCUAGGUAUUAGCAACAAAUAUGAACUUUUCAACUUUUGUGAGUAUCUUUAUCUUAAUAAGACCACCUGCAAAUACUGAGUUUUGAGACUCAGAUAAUAGAUGGCGAGUUGAUUGUGUCAAUGGAAUGGCGGUUUGCUGUCAAAAGUUAAGCUAUCCUUUCUUCGAAAAUUACCAACGAAUUCAUUAAUAAAUUCCAGUGAUUUUGUCUCUAACUUGUCGGUGAUGUGUUCUAUUCUGUGUAUACGUUGGAUAAAAUUAAUGUUUCUCAUCAACUUAUAGGAGGAAACAUAAAAGAGUCGUGGCGUCGUGCAGCCUACCGUCUACCGUCAACUAUUUUGUUCAAAAUCAUUGUAUUCUACUGAAUGUGCCAUCGAAAUGAUACAGGAGUCAUAAUUAUCUGCUGUUUGUAUUGGACUUGGUAGAUCACCAACGGCCCAGCAUAGACCAAUCUCACAUUUCAUCUUCUCGAGAGAAGAUUGGAUAACUGAUCGGUGGUUUCAUGUGUUCUAAACUCCAGGUUUCUAAAUCUGCAUGGCAGACUUUAUGAGAAGUCAUGUCCUUUCAAGAAAGUCAGCAAGGUCCCUUGUUUACUAACCUGUUGGCUGCUACCCUUGAGUCUUCCUUUUUACUUUCUUAAGCGGGCCAUCUUUAUUUGAGGGUAAUCCUUCGCUACUUGUCAUGGCCUUCAUCCACAGGUGAAAAACCGACGAGACAAUGCUGCAAUUCAAGACUGAUAAAUUGUUUAAUCGUUAGAUUAAAUUAUAAGUGCAUAUCUGGGCUCCCUUCUUUCCCGUGGCCCCGUUUCCCUAACUAACCACUAACCAACGCCCGCCGGUGGUCACUCACCCGCUGUGAAACCAGGAGGAGGGGAGGGCUCUGGUCGAACGGGGACUUGGAAGGCGCAUGAUCCGAUGAAAACUUUUGGAGGGUCAUGAGUCUAACCCGGAAGCCUAGUAUGACUACAUCUCCCCAGUAAAACUUGCCUCGUACUUCUCUCUUCUUCUCGGUCCAGAUAAAUAUCUCUGGGGGCCGUAGACAUAUCCUAUAACAGCAUGUGCGAGUUAAACAAAGCAACCCACUACCCAAUGAAACAAAAAGCCAUGGUUUAUUACUUGCGCAAAUCUCCGUCAGUCAAGUUACAAAUUUUUCUAAUUCAACAACUCGCGUAGAAUUUUGCAUCUAGUCUAUUAGUGCAAAUCGCGAUUCCAUGUGUUUGGUAGUUAAGAAAAUGGUUGUUUAAAAAACAAACAAUGGGGUGUUCUGUGUAGCCAAAAAAACUCACCAUUGUUUGUUUUUUUAAACAACCAUCUUCUUAACUACCAAUCACAUAGGAUCGCUAUUUGCACCAGUAAAUUAGAUGCAAAAUUCGACAGAAGUUGUUAAGUUUGAAAAAUUUGUAACUUGACUGACCCAGAUUUCCGCAAAACUAAACCAUCGCUUUUUGUCUCAUUGCCGCAGCGGUGGUGGCGGGUUGCGUUUAACUCGUACAGAAGAAAAACGUCUUGAACCGGACGCUGUGUUUAUUGAAUUUUUUUAACAUUUUAAAAAGAAAAUAAAACAAAUUGGUUCAUAC
rnacentral:lncRNA from 1 species